GACGAACGCUGGCGGCGUGCUUAACACAUGCAAGUCGAACGGUGAACCAGGGCUUGCCCUGGGGAUCAGUGGCGAACGGGUGAGUAACACGUGGGCAACCUGCCCCUGACUCCGGGAUAACCCCUUGAAAGAGGUGCUAAUACCGGAUACGACCACUUCGGGCAUCCGAUGGUGGUGGAAAGAAUUUUGGUCGGGGAUGGGCCCGCGGCCUAUCAGCUUGUUGGUGGGGUAACGGCCCACCAAGGCGACGACGGGUAGCCGGCCUGGGAGGGCGACCGGCCACACGGGGACUGGGAGACGGACCAGACGCCUACGGGAGGCAGCAGUGGGGAAUAUUGCUCAAUGGGCGAAAGCCUGACGCAGCGACGCCGCGUGAGGGACGACGGCCUUCGGGUUGUAAACCUCUUUCAGCAGGGACGAAGCGCAAGUGACGGUACCUGCAGAAGAAGCACCGGCUAACUACGUGCCAGCAGCCGCAGUAA
rnacentral:rRNA from 1 species